GGCUUAGAAGCAGCCACUCAUUAAAAGAGUGCGUAAUAGCUCACUGGUCGAGUGAUUCUGCGCCGAAAAUUUAACGGGGCUAAACUAUACACCGAAGCUUAGGAUACCGCAAGGUAUGGUAGGAGAGCGUUCUGUACGGAGUGAAGUCGUAGCGAAAGCGGCGGUGGACUGUACAGAAGUGAGAAUGCCGGAAUAAGUAGCGAGAAUUAAGUGAGAAUCUUAAUGGCCGAAAGUCUAAGGUUUUUGGAGGAAGGUUCGUCCGCUCCAAGUAAGUCGGGAGCUAAGGUCAGGCCGAAAGGCGUAGCCGAUGCACAAACGGUUGAUAUUCCGUUACCGUCUACAAUUUAAACAAAGGGACACAUACAAAGCGUUUAACCCGGGCGAUGGUUGACCCGGGCGCAAGGGACUGAAAUAAGAGUAGGGAAGUAAAUGUGGCGUAUGGCGAGAAAAGCUUUGUGAAUAGAAGUAGACGCCCGUACCGCAAACCGACACAGGUGGACAGGAAGAGAAUUCUAAGGCCAGCGGGAGAAGGGUAGUUAAGGAACUCGGCAAAUUGACUCCGUAACUUCGGAAUAAGGAGUGCUCGAAAGAGCCGCAGAGAAUAGGCCCAGGCGACUGUUUAGCAAAAACACAGGUCUCUGCCAAAUCGAAAGAUGAAGUAUAGGGGCUGACACCUGCCCGGUGCCGGAAGGUUAAGAGGAGGAGUGCAAGCUCCGAAUUGAAGCCCCGGUAAACGGCGGCCGUAACUAUAACGGUCCUAAGGUAGCGAAAUUCCUUGUCGGGUAAGUUCCGACCCGCACGAAUGGCGUAACGACUUGGGCACUGUCUCAACAAGGGACCCGGCGAAAUUGUAGUAUGUGUGAAGAUGCACAUUACCCGCGAUAGGACGGAAAGACCCCGUAGAGCUUUACUGUAGCUUGACAUUGGAUUUUGGUAACAUAUGUACAGGAUAGGUGGGAGGCGGAGAAAUCAGUACGCCAGUACUGAUGGAGCCGACGUUGGGAUACCACUCUUAUGUUACUGAAGUUCUAACGAGUAGCCGUGAACCGGUACUUGGACAGUGUCAGGUGGGCAGUUUGACUGGGGCGGUCGCCUCCGAAAAGGUAACGGAGGCGUUCAAAGGUUCCCUCAGAAUGGUUGGAAACCAUUCGCAGAGUGCAAAGGCAGAAGGGAGCCUGACUGCGAGACCGACAGGUCGAGCAGGGAGGAAACUCGGACUUAGUGAUCCGGCGGUAGAGAGUGGAAUUGCCGUCGCUCAACGGAUAAAAGCUACCUCGGGGAUAACAGGCUUAUCUCCCCCAAGAGUCCACAUCGACGGGGAGGUUUGGCACCUCGAUGUCGGCUCGUCGCAUCCUGGGGCUGUAGCAGGUCCCAAGGGUUUGGCUGUUCGCCAAUUAAAGCGGCACGCGAGCUGGGUUCAGAACGUCGUGAGACAGUUCGGUCCCUAUCCAUCGUGGGCGCAGGAGAUUUGAGAGGAGCUGUCCUCAGUACGAGAGGACCGGGAUGGACGCACCAAGGGUGAAUCAGUUGUCGCGCCAGCGGCAUGGCUGGGUAGCCAAGUGCGGGAAGGAUAAACGCUGAAGGCAUCUAAGCGUGAAGCCAACCUCAAGAUAAGAUCUCCCAUCCGAGAAGGAGUAAGACCCCUGGUAGACUACCAGGUUGAUAGGCCGGAGGUGCAAGUGCAGCAAUGUAUGCAGCUGACCGGUACUAAUAGGUCGAGGGCUUGAUCA
rnacentral:rRNA from 1 species